AAACAGUGCUCGGUGUGCUAAAAUUGGAAGGAUGCAGAGAGGAUUAGCAUGGCCCUGGGCAAGGAUGACACGCAAAUUCGCGAAGCGUCCCAUAUUUUA
rnacentral:snRNA from 1 species